ACACCUGUUCGAGCGCCAUUUCAACCCUCAAGCCUUGCUUGGUGAUGGGCCCCGUCUGCUGGCGGGCCUGAAACUCGUGGGCGCCUUUGUUCGGCUUCAAGCGUAGCAAAACCCUCGCUUGGAUGUCUGGAUGGUGGCCGCCUGGAACGAAUUCUCACAAGGUUGGCCUCGGAUCAGGUGGGGAUACCCGCUGAACUUAA
rnacentral:misc_RNA from 1 species